AUGGGCCCGGCCCCGGAGAGCAGCGAGUUCGUGCACAGAACAUGGGUACAAUGUGAGAAUGAGAGCUGCCUGAAAUGGAGGCUGCUGUCCCCUGCAGCUGCAGCCGCAGUGAACCCCAGCGAGCCCUGGUACUGCUUCAUGAACACUGACCCCAGCUACAGCAGCUGCUCCGUCUCCGAGGAGGAUUUCCCUGAAGAAUCUCAGUUCCUUGAAAACGGGUAUAAGUUUGUCUAUUCACAGCUACCUCUCGGAAGCCUGGUUUUGGUAAAAUUACGGAAUUGGCCAAGGCAGCAGACUGUACGAAGAAGAAGAGGUGGUAUAGAAGUGCCCUCGAGGAAGCAUACCAACUCUACAGGUGUUCCGCAGAGCAAAGACUAGAAGUGUGCUGCCUGUCAAAGCCGAACAGAGCCAAAACAGAUACCAAAGCUGCUGUGGUGACCAAGAAAGGGAUGUCACAUGGAUUCAUUACACUGAUGACUUCAUGCUCCCUGGACCUUGUGAGCCAAAAGCAGCAACUGUUAGCAUCUGUGUUUCAGAGGGUGAGACAAAAACUCCUCAGGGAUUUCAGAGCUUUCUGAAAGCCCGUGGAUACAUUGCUAUCAGAAAAG
rnacentral:lncRNA from 1 species